rnacentral:misc_RNA from 1 species
GAAAUGCGAAACUUAAUGUGAGUUGCAUCUCUAGUGAAUCAUCAAGUCUUUGAACGCACUUUGCACCCAUCUAGUCUCUAGAGGGUAUACUUGUUUGAGUUUCUUUUGUAAGAAAUUUUGGUAAUUUUUAACCAAGUAAAUAAGGGUGACAAAAUAUAUUAUUUAUAUUUGACACAUCUUGAAAUAUAUUUUAUUAUUUUUUAUUUUAAAUAAUAAAAUACCUAACAAAAAAUAAAUAAUUUUUUGUAUAAAUAAUUUUUAAUUUCUGGGGAAAGUUGGUAACAACUUUAUUAAAACUCUAUGAAAUAAUAUAAAAUUAUUUAUAUAAAAAAAAAUAUUUAUUAGGUAAAUUUUAAAAUUUUGAACUCAAAUCAAGUAAGGCUACCCGCUGAACUUAA